UCCCAGAUAGUUUAGUGGCUAGAAUUACCGUUUGUCGCAUGGUAGACCAGGGUUCAAUUCCCUAUCUGGGAG
rnacentral:tRNA from 2 species